AGGGAUCAUUACCGAGUUUACAACUCCCAAACCCCUGUGAACAUACCAUAUUGUUGCCUCGGCGGUGCCUGUUUCGGCAGCCCGCCAGAGGACCCAAACCCUAGAUUACAUUAAAGCAUUUUCUGAGUCAAUGAUUAAAUCAAUCAAAACUUUCAACAACGGAUCUCUUGGUUCUGGCAUCGAUGAAGAACGCAGCGAAAUGCGAUAAGUAAUGUGAAUUGCAGAAUUCAGUGAAUCAUCGAAUCUUUGAACGCACAUUGCGCCCGCCAGUAUUCUGGCGGGCAUGCCUGUCCGAGCGUCAUUUCAACCCUCAAGCCCCCGGGCUUGGUGUUGGAGAUCGGCGAGCCCCCCGGGGCGCGCCGUCUCCCAAAUAAGUGGCGGUCCCGCUGUAGCUUCCUCUGCGUAGUAGCACACCUCGCACUGGGAAACAGCGUGGCCACGCCGUAAAACCCCCCACUUCUGAAAGGUUGACCUCGGAUCAGGUAGGAAUACCCGCUGAACUUAA
rnacentral:rRNA from 1 species